AAUAGAUACCCGGGUAGUCCACGCCGUAAACGAUGAGUGCUAAGUGUUAGAGGGUUUCCGCCCUUUAGUGCUGAAGUUAACGCAUUAAGCACUCCGCCUGGGGAGUACGGCCGCAAGGCUGAAACUCAAAGGAAUUGACGGGGGGCCCGCACGAAGCGGUGGAGCAUGUGGUUUAAUUCGAAGCAACGCGAAGAACCUUACCAGGUCUUGACAUCCUCUGACAACCCUAGAGAUAGGGCUUCUCCUUCGGGAGCAGAGUGACAGGUGGUGCAUGGUUGUCGUCAGCUCGUGUCGUGAGAUGUUGGGUUAAGUCCCGCAACGGAGCGCAACCCUUGAUCUUAGUUGCCAUCAUUAAGUUGGGCACUCUAAGGUGACUGCCGGUGACAAACCGGAGGAAGGUGGGGAUGGACGUCGAAAUCAUCAUGCCCCUUAUGACCUGGGUCUACACACGUGCUACAAUGGACGGUACAAAGAGCUGCAAGACCGCGAGGUGGAGCUAAUCUCAUAAAACCGUUCUCAGUUCGGAUUGUAGGCUGCUAAC
rnacentral:rRNA from 1 species